AUGCAGGGAGAGCCCCAGGUCCAGUUCAAACCUGUAUUGGUUGGUGAUGGUGGUACUGGAAAAACAACCUUCAUGAAACGUCAUUUGACUGAUGAAUCUGAGAAGAAGUAUGUAGCCACCUUGGGUGUUGAGGUUCAUCCCCUAGUGUUCCACACCAACAGAGGACCUAUUAAGUUUAAUGUAUGGGACACAGCCGGCCAGGAGAAAUUCAGUGGACUGAGAGAUGGCUAUUAUAUCCAAGCCACGUGCACCAUCAGAAUGUUUGAUGUAACGCAGAGAGUUACUUACAAGAAUGUGCCUAACUGGCAUAAAGAUCCAGUGCGAGUGUGUGAAAACAUCCCCGUUGUGUUGCAUGGCAACAAAGUGGCGGAAAGUGAAGGCAAAAUCCAUCGUCUUCCAUUGAAGGAAGAAUCUUCAAUACUAUGACAUUUCUGCCAAAAGUAACCACAACUCUGAAAAGCCCUUCCUCUGGCUUGCUAGGGAAGUUCAUUGGAGACCCUAGCUUGGAAUCUGUUGCCAUGCCUGCUCUUGCCCCACCAGAGGUUGUCAAGGACCUAGCUUUGGCAGCGCAGUAUGAGUAUGACUCAGAGGCUGCUCAGACAACUGUUGUCCCGGAUGAGGAUGAUGACCUCGGAGAAUGA